AUUUAUUCCAGUGUUUCUUCUGCUCCCUGGUGCAGCUCCUGGGUAAAUACCUAGCAUUUCCCCUAUUCAGAGAGACAAAGGCCAGGCUUGAAGGACCUGAAUAUGACCCAGCAUGAACAACACAUUCUCGGACAGAAGAGGAGACUGACCAUCAAACAGGGAACAAAUCGUCUGUGUCUCUCCUGUUUCUUUUCCAUCUCAUGUAAGGAAGUCAAGUAGAGAUUGGUGAAUGGGCAAUAUGUUUGUUUCAUUCAACAAACAUAAAUCCCUGGGAAAGACUAGAGAAGGUAUUCAUAAUGCCAGAACUUGAAGCUGUGUUGACUUUCUGGGGAAAAGUAUUCUUUGUUCUCUCAACAAGCCUGCAGUUUUAGCACCCUCUUAUGCUCUCAGGAGUCACAAAAACAGACGGGAAUGGAAUAGCAGCCUGGUGCUCCUCUUCUAUCACAGGGCUUGCUCAGCUCCGGGGAGAAUCUGCAUCUAUAAUGUCUGAUCUACAUGGUCUCCUCGGUGGCCAGAAGUUGGGAAGACCUGGUUGUACCCUGAGACUCUUCACCGCUCCCAAGGGGAUGCUGUACAUCGCAAGAUGCCAAGAGCCUGUAAGAAGAAGCUGAGAUCACAGAUAAGACACAAAUUUCUGAAAUGGAGGUAAAGGUCAUGUUUUAAGGCUCAUUCUCUCAAAUCUCUUAAUAAUCUGUUGCUUUGUAUGGUAAGUGGAUGGGUAUAACUCCAGUAGCUGAAAUGGGGAUUAUAUGAGUUUGGACUCGGGAGACUGAAUGUCUGUGUUUGAAUCCUGGCUAUGCCAUUUGAUAGGUGUGUGACCUUAGGUUAGUUAUCCAACUUCUCUGUGUCUCAGUUUCCUCAUCUGCAAGAUGAGACUAAUAAUACUACCUACCUUAUGAGGUUGUUGGGAGAAUUAAAUGAGACAGUAUGUGACAAGCACUUAGAACAGGGGCUGGCACACAGUAAGCCCUCAAUAAUUGUUAG
rnacentral:lncRNA from 1 species